CCUUCUUUCUUUCUCUCUUUCUCCAGGCUCCAGCCUUCAUCCCCAUUCCUCUUUGAUUUUCUUUUGAAUUGCUAGAAAUGAGGAAGACUGGAAGACGAUAGGCUUUCAAUCCAAGAUCGAGUUUGCUUCGGUUUCUUCCUCCUUUUUUGCAAUUCAAAAAAAAUGCCAUUGUUGAAUUUGUUUAAAGCUACGAGAGUGGAUUUUUGAAAUUAGGGUUGUACAUUUGUAGAAAAAAGAGAGGACGGGAUAUGGCGGGGUGGGAUAGGGCUUCAGUCAUAUUCGGAAUCAUGUUUGUUUCGUCGUCUUCGACACCUUCGAAUCAAGUUAGGAAAAAAGUUUAUUGAUAGGAAAGAAGCUCAAGAAGCUCUUGUAGAGUUGUAGAUGAGAAGAAAACAACCUCUUGAGGGACAGUAUUCUAUCAAGUACAAUGCUUGAAGGCCUCCACCACCAAGUAUCUAGUGGAGCCGUGGAGGUUCGCCUAUGUACGGACCAGAAGUUGCAGAACGUUAUUUAUCUGCCAUGUAUGUUUAUCUUCUCUGUAUAUGUAUUUGCCCGCAACCGAGUCUGGUUAUUGCUAUGUUACUCAGACUCGGGUACCCAUGUCGGACACGGGUACGUUUCCAAGUGUCCGACUCGGCUAUUUUGUGAAAAAAAAAAUCACAGACUUGGUCCAAAAUGAAGUGUCUGGUGUCCAUACCCAUGUCCGAAUGUCGAGAAUCCGACACGGGUACUUGAGGUAAAGUGAAGAGUCCAAGUAACAUGGCUCUUCUAUAUCCUAUUUAGAAUCAUAUCAUCCUAUGUUGUGAUUUUGAAAUGUAAUACAGUACAUGAUUUACUUGUUCAUGCAAUGUGCUAGCCUACACAAAUUAGGAUUGAAAUUGCACAAUUGUUUGUACCCCAUGAAAACUCCCAUAAUAAAAUUCAAGAACUUAUCUUUCCCUUAAUAAA